GCGCGAAAACUUUACAAUGCUGGCAACAGCGAUAAGGGAACCUCGAGUGCCAGGUUACAAAUCUGGCUGUCGAGAUGCCUAAAAAAGCAUUUCAUAGCAAGGGCCGGGCAAGACCGGUGCCAGCCGCCGCGGUAACACCGGCGGCUCGAGUGGUAACCGUUAUUAUUGGGUCUAAAGGGUCUGUAGCCGGCCGGAUAAGUCUCUUGAGAAAUCUGGCAGCUUAACUGUCAGGCUUUCAGGAGAUACUGUCUGGCUCGAGGCCGGGAGAGGUGAGAGGUACUUCAGGGGUAGGGUGAAAUCUUGUAAUCCUUGAAGGACCACCAGUGGCGAAGGCGUCUCACCAGAACGGACCUGACGGCAGGGGACGAAAGCAGGGGCACGAACCGGAUUAGAAACCCG
rnacentral:rRNA from 1 species